UAUUUUACCUGGUACAAUAUGAGAUGAAACGAGAUGGCUGUGGCAGUGAAAUUUGGUGGUGAAGCUGCAGAAGAAGCAACUGUAAGAGGCCACUUGCCCAGGUAAGGUGCAUGGCUGGGCAGCAGCUGUUGGCCUCUGGAAUUUGGCUCCUUUUCCUUCCCUCCAGCUCCCAGCGCCCGGGGGCAGCAGUCAGCUGCAAAGCUCCACAGAGCGCCAGGAGAGCUGCCAGCUUUCACACGCAUCCGCUACUCGACCACAUGCAGAAGAAAAUAUCUAGCAAGAAACAAACAAAAUUAAUCACCAGUGGAAGGAUUCUAAAUGCAGAUCUCCAUGGAAAUAAAAGGCAAGCCUGGCUCUGUUCAGGCAGUAUCACAUGAGUUACAGUAAUAAUGCAGAAGAGGAAUGGAGUCCUGUUGGGCAGUCCCAAAGCAGAUUCCCUGCAAUUCAGUGCUACUUGAUGGGGUACAUAUUGCCGGCUGACUUGCUCCAGGAAUGAGGGAACACGUCCAUGUUGGAGCAGUGAAUAAGAAGCCUGUGUUGUCCUCAGGAAUAGCAGUCACCUGAUGUGAGCCAUAAAUAUUUGAAAGUAAACAUUAUUGCCAUGCCAUCUGCUGAGAAAAGCCGGAAUCUCAGCUGUCAACGCUACUCUCUGGAGAAGCCAGCAAAGGCAAGGGUCCAGAGGCUUGCCAUUCCAUACAGCCGUGUCUGCAUUUUUUUCUUCAUCCUUAAAACACGUUUAGGAAAGGUAAUUGAGUGUAUUUUAAUUAAAAAUUAAUGGUGUCAACAACCAUUUUUUUUCUGGGGCUUGAUCUUAAUAAAACUUGGAGUUAUGAGAUUUCAUUUCUGUUCUUAGC